GUUGCAACCGUAGAAAAAAAUGAUACGUAUUCAGUUUUUUGAGAGUUGUAUAUGCUAGUGCAUGUUAAUCUAAGGGCGCUGCCAAUUAUUACUGCAUGCACAUCAAAAUGUAAAUGGAAAACGAUUAUUGCCGGACGACCGGCUGAAGCUUUCGCCGGUCGCCCCGGCUCUGCUCGCCCACGCACCUAUCCCACAUAGCCACGUGCCCUGUCCCACGCGCUAAUUUUUAUCUUUUUUGCACCAACCGUUUUGUGGCCAUAAAAAUCGUAUCUCCAGAAACGUCGCUAUCUCUUCUCUUUCUUCUACCUUGCGCACCACCAUGAGCCUUCUCCUGCGAGCUUCUUCUUCUCCCUUCCUCCCCCUGCAAUAAAACCACAUGAGGCUGUUACAAGGACACGUCGUUGGUCGUCGAUUUCAUGGCCACGCUCGCCAGCAAUUUCCUAUCUGUCUUAGCCGGCGAGCCCCUCGAUAUUGCUACAACCAGGGCCUCGUCGCCGUCGUGGAGUGUGCUACAACCAUGGCGAGCGGUGUUGCGAUUGGCGUCGUGCACUACUACGACCUCGAUAUCGCAGUGCUACAACCAGUGUGCGCCCGUGCUGGAACCGGCUAUCUGGUGUGCUGGAAUUGGCGGCAAAAAGAUGAUACAAGUCGAUGAGAUUAUGUGCGGGGAACAGGUCGCCGGAGCUGCAUCCAGUGACACAAAUUGCUACAUCCGGCAUCAAGUUUUGCUGGAACCAUAGAAAUUAGCCAUCAACGCUAUAAUCAAGUGGACGACACUGGCGGGCUUCUUUUUUGCUGGAACCGUCACACCUAUUUGCUACAACCCGCAGACUUUUUUGCUACGUUGAGUAAUCGAGUGAGGUAUUGGUACAGCCGAACAUGGAAACGGACAUGGAAAAAAGCUUCAACCGGCCUAGUAGAAGUUCCAACCAAUGGAGGAAAAAGGCUUCAACAAGCAUGACGGAAAAGCUUCAACCCCAUGGAAAAGCUGGAAGCAGCUACAAAAAAAGCUUCAACGGACUAUGAAAAAAGCUUCAACCUAGAGCCAGCAAUGGCUAUGAUGGCGAGGCUGCUACCAAACGACGGCAGGGUGUGACCAUGAAGCAACGCCAUGUUGCAACCAAUGGCGACGAGGGCCGCAAAACGCCCACGAGAUGCAGCUUCAACGGCGACGGCGGGGUUGCGAGCACGUCGACGACGAGACGAGCGAGAAGCGGCGUCCUCUUCACGGGAGGUGCAGCGGGGCGGCCGGCGGCGAGGACGACGACCGGCGACAAGGACAGGAACCAGCAACGAGGACGGCGACCAGCGACGACGAGGACGGCGACCAGCGACCGGGGGCGAGCACAGCGACCAACGGCGACGUGGACGGCGACCGGCGACCGGGGGCGAGGACGGCGAGCUGGUGAUGCUUCAGGGUCAGCCCUCGAAGAGUCCAUGGCGGGGUGUCCAGCACGAAUAGCUGUUUUGGAUUGGACACGAUUUUCUGUUGAGAAAAAAAAAAUGAUUCAAAGGCUGAUCUGACGGUGGGCAAAAGACAAAUUGACGUUCCAGAUACGACCGGCCCAACAGUUGGGCCGGCGCACCGGCCCAGAUCACUGCCCAAUGUAAAUCCGGUGCCAGCGAGUUAAUCUGUCGAUUCUGCUCUGGUUUGGCCAGUAUGUCCCCUCCCUCCUUGUUGUGGAGUGCAUCGGAUCCGAUUUAUAAUCCUCCCUCCUUGUUAUUUGCGGUCGACGCGUGUGAAGUCUAGUGGCUUCGUGUGACAUGCCGAGCACUGCUCAGCGACGCGUGUAUCUCCAUCUCGUUUUCAGUUUACUUACCAUUGCACAUACAACGCAGUCCAAGCCUCCCAGAUCCCACGCGCCCGAGCACCUCCAUGGCCGAACUCCUCCUCGCGCGCCCUCGUCCACGAAGCAGUCAGCCUCCCAGGCGCCCCUCGCCAACAGCCUUCACGCGAGCGCUCUCGCAGGAGCUCGAACCCGAGUCGAGCCAGUCACCCCUGCCGCCCGCCGGCGAUCUGCAACAACAAGACCCCUGCCGGAAGCAGCAGUUCCCUCGCAGCGGCGCGGCUUGUCCUUCAGUGCUCCCCUUGCAGCCUCCCCAGACUUGGUCUUCGCUUGGUGUUGGCGGACAGUCGAGCAGGAGCAUCUCCCGCACUGGCCUCGACCGCCUCUUGUAAUCUCCCUCGCAUCUCCCGCACUGGCCUCGACCGCCUCUUCGAGCCUCAUGGCGUCGACCAGAUUGGCAGGUCUCCUCUCCCAUUAAUUGUGGACGCUCUCCCUUGCAGGCCACACCAUAUGCAUCAGAAAACGAUGCGGGACUAUUAAUUUUACCGGAUUAUUAGGCCACGACGCGGAGGAUCGAGGUUGGUCUGAGGCCCAAGCGGCAAUGCGCAUGGUGCUCAUGUGCUUUCUGUAUCCUAUUGGAGGCUGUUGUGGUGC